rnacentral:lncRNA from 1 species
CAGUUCGACUGAGGAGAGCUGGCGGACGCCCGGGGGCUCCGUUCCUUUGGAAAAGCACACCGCAUCCCGGCGCGCCUUGCUCGGCCACGCUCCCAGAGAGAACGGAGCCCGGCACCACUGUUACCCAAUAAUCAUGCCCCGCACCGUCGCAACAAUGAGUGCCCCCGGAUCCCCGAGAGCACGAGUCCCCCGGCCCUGAGCCACCCCGGCCAAGCGGAACCCCCAGGGCCGAGGGGAAGGGAGGGGUGGCGCGUGAGGCGCCGAGGUCGGCGCCACAGGCCGCGGUGAGUCCGGCUUUUUCCCAGUGCGUAGCCAGGGCCUGGCCCUGCGAGUCCCGGCCCAGGCCGAGCCUGGCCGGCCGGGUGACUCAGGCCGGGCCUGGCCGCUCCGCUCCGCCCUCGGCGUCCUACGCCCACGACUUCUCCGGCCCGGCCGCCAUUCCGCCUAGCCGCGGCGCGGCGCCUCAGGCCUCGCCGGCAGCCCGGGCUCGGACGCCGCGGCCCGAGUCACUGCGACGCCGCGGCUCCGCCGUGGCCUGCGCUGCCUCCCGCCACCGCGGCCCGAGCCGCUACUCACCCGCAUCUCCGGGCGCCCCCCGACGCUCGGGCGACGGCGUGUAGUGCUCGCGGGGCCCGCCGAGGUCUGGCCGCGUCCCUCAGCGCCCGGGCUGCCCCGCCUGGAGCUGCGUGCGACACGGCGCCCGCUCCUCCUCCUCCUCCCCUGCCCGCCUGCCGGCCCUCCUCCUCCCGCCGCCGCCGCCGCCGCCUGCACCACGCAACCUCCGCCCUCUCGCCGUCCCUCCGCCGCUCCCCGCCCUCCCGGCUUCACCGGCUCUGGCGACCGCGGGGCGAAGCCGUGGGGGAGGGAGGGCCGGAACGCACCGCCAUCGGCGUCCGGGGCGGGGGAGCCAAGAAACCGUCGCCGCCAUCGCCGGGCCUGCGGCGGCGCGGGAGGGGCACGGAAACGGCCCCCCCAGAGGCCCUGGUCACCCGCUUCGUGGCCAGGACCCGCUUCGCGCGGGCAUUUCUACCUGCGAGCCAUGGCCUCUGCUUCCCAAACGCCGAGCCGGGUCCUGCCGGACGAGCGGAAUCCUCCGCCAGGUUUUCCCGCCGCCCUCGCGUCGGGGCGGCCUCUCGAGUGCCGGCUUCCCGCCACUUCGGACUUCUCGUGGAGACCGAGCCGAGGCUGGGGGCUCUGACCUCUGAAGACACUUCCGGAAGCGGCUGUGGGAGAGGGGCUUUGAGCUCCCCUGCCCCUCCCCUCCAUGCACCUCCCGGGAGCUGACAUGGGUCCCAACUGCACUGAUCCUGGCUGGUGUCUCCUGUCCUGGAGUUGAACCAGAGGCAGUAUCCCCAACCGUGAGAUGAGAAAGUCAAAUGGGCAGGCGGACUCAAGAGAAAAGUGCUACUGCUUCACCGACCCCCCUUUCUACCUGCAGGCCUUGGAGAUCCUCCUGCGGAAACCUCCAGCUUGCCCACAUACCCACGUGGAUGUGUGUCUCCCUCUUUAAUACUUUUCAGCAGUGGCCUCCCUUCCUUCUUGAGAGCCUUUUUUCACUUUCACUGUAUAUGGUUUAGUUAGGGAGAGUUGGGAGUUGCGAUUCCAACCUGGGAUGGCAUGAAGUAGUAUUCUUACAUCUAGAAUAAUCUCACCCAUUGGAAAUCAGCUGCUGUCAUCUUGUGCUUUGUAAUAUUCAAUUGUAAAUUUGGCAACACCCCUAGCCACAGGUGAGAGGCUGGAGAAAGAAUGGAUUUACCCCAUACCUUGUUAGAGGCAGCUGUUUUAAUAUCCUAGCUUAGAUCUGCCAUUUAAUUCUGUGAACUAGCAAGGGAAGAUUUUCAGUUAGCUCAUCAUCUGGGCCAAAGAUGUAUUUGAUGUAACUUCUGUAACUUUUCACCAAACUAGAACACCACAGAGAUUCUUUCUAAUGCACCAUUUCGGGGCAGAAAUCCUCAGCAGACCUGACAGGUCUCAAAUCCACAACUUGAGUAACCCGUGCUUCCUCUCAAAAGAAAGUCCCACUGGUGUGUAGUCCAGCAGUUCUCAUUCUGUGGAUGGACACCCGUUGGACAAACUUCUAUCUCCAAACACAUUUACAUUACGAUUCAUAGCAGCAAAAUUACAGUUAUGAAAUAGCAACAAAAACCAUUUUCUGAUUGGGGGUCACCUGGUGAACUGUAUUAAAGAGUCACAGCAUUAGGAAGUUAAGAACUGCUGGUUUAGUGUCUUCUAUCGAACUGUAGCUUUUUGUCAACAUCUAUUAAGUAUUUUUUAGAAGUGUUGUUUCUGCAUGUGUAUACCAAAUUAUAUUAUCUUUACGUUUGUCUGGGGAAAAGGUUUUUAAUUUGUUUUAUGUCAAACACCUCAAUAACUCAUUCAAAAGAAACAUGUUUUUAGUAACUUUUCUGUAGACAUAUGGUAAGGGUGGAGAUAAAUGUAAGGCUUGUUCCUUGU